rnacentral:tRNA from 1 species
GGUGGCUCAGUGGUAGAGCGCUUGCCUUCCACGCCUGAGGCCCUGGGUUCAAUUUCUCAGUACCA